UUUUUUAGGUCUUAGGAUACCGAAAAACACCUCCAACGCGUUUUUUUGUUAGAUGGAAAUAUGUAAUCUGUGAAAGAAAGCUGUCAAAAAUAUACAAUUAAUUCACAAUCACUGCCUUUUUAAAUUUUAUAUAUACCUACAAAUACAAAAAAAGCUUUAUGGCAAAAGUGAUAUGUGCUUUUAAAUAUGGCAUCAAAAAUCAUUUGCUUUCGAAAAUGUCAUAAAUUCCUUAUUGUUGCAGCCACAGCCAUGGCUUCCGGUAAUGGUGACAGUUCUAAUGGCUGGCAGGACACCUUCGAACUAUACAGCCCUGAGGAUUGGCAUUUGCCUAACAACCUGAGUAGUGCCAGUUAUACUCAUCUUUAUGGAAACGGAUAUGUUACGAAUAUCGGUGGCAUCGUUGCCAGCAGUGAAGGUAGCGGCGAGUCUCCAUCCUAAAGUAGUAAGAUUGGCAUAGCCAGUCAUAAUUUCGAAGAUAUCGCUUUACAUAACGAAAAAAUUUAGAAAUGCUACUUAUUCUUAGCUAGAAGUAAUAUGAAUAAAAACUUUUGCCGAUUAA